rnacentral:lncRNA from 1 species
CUUCAUUUCUCGUGUCUAGCAAUCGUCCCGAUUCUUUCUUUAUCUUCUCUCAUGUCUCUUCGGCAAGAUUGCUCCACUUUCCGUAAGUUAUUUCAUUAUUGUUUGACAUGUACUGUAUAUAUGGCGAUCUAUGUAUAUAACAUAGCGUGUUCAUAUACACACACGUAUAUAUAUAUAUAUAUAAAUAUAUAUGUGUAUAUAUAAGAACCGUUAGGUCAGGCUUGCUAGAGAUGAUGAUGGUGAUGAUGAUGAGUUUUUGUGUUUGUAUUAUUCAGAGAUGACGAAUAAGUUGAUGGUGGAACAGUCAUAUACAUUUAUCCAUAUGUGUAUGUGUGUGUGUAUUCGCACAUUGUAUGGCCGUGUGUUCGUGUGUGUGUGUGUGUGUAUAUAUAUGUAUAUAUAUAUAUAGCGAGAGUGAGAGAGAGACGCUAAUAUAAACGUGUGUAUAUUUGUUAGCGUAUACAUAUAUGGUCACAAAUACAUACAAAUAUAAUUAUAUGUAUGUAAAUAAACAUACAUAAAUAUAGAUGCAUAUAUAAGCGUAUAUAUAUAUAUAUAUAUAUAUAUAUAUUCACACACAUAUGUAUGCACACCCACUCAUGUAUAUAUAUAUAUAUAUAUAUAUAUAUAUAUAUAUAUAUGUAUUUUUCUUCUGUCUGUCUGUAUGUAUACAUAUAUAUGCACGUAUAUAUAUCAUCUAUAAUAGAUUAUGUAAUAUAUAUAUACACAAGUUUGUUCUUAUUUGUGUUUACAUCUGUUUCUUCAUAGAAGGCAUUGAUGCUCUUCCCGUCACUAACCCCUCUACUUGUUUCUCAAGUUAUAUAUUAUAUAUAUAGGCGCAGGAGUGGCUGUGUGGUAAGUAGCUUGUUUACCAACCACAUGGUUCUGGGUUCAGUCCCACUGCGUGGCAACUUGGGCAAGUGCCUUCUGCUAUAGCCUCAGGCCGACCAAAGCCUUGUGAGUGGAUUUGGUUGACGGAAACUGAAAGAAGCCUGUCGUAUAUAUGUAUAUAUAUAUAUAUAUGUGUGUGUGUAUGUUUGUGUGUCUGUGUUUGUCCCCCUAGCAUUGCUUGACAACCGAUGCUGGUGUGUUUGUGUCCCUGUCACUUAGCGGUUCGGCAAAAGAGACCGAUAGAAUAAGUACUGGGCUUACAAAGAAUAAGUCCCGGGGUUGAGUUGCUCGAUUAAAGGCGGUGCUCCAGCAUGGUCAAAUGACUGAAACAAGUAAAAAGAGAAAAAAAAAAGAUUAUAUAUAUAUAUAUAUGUGUGUGUUCUUCUAUUCUUUUUUCUUUAACUUUUUUUCUGUCAUUUUGACUGCAGCCAUGCUGAAGUACUGGUGUUAUUAGAAGAAAUCGACCCCCACCACUUAUUCUUUCUAAGCCUAAUACUUAUUCUAUUGGUCCCUUUUGCCGGACUGCUAAGUUACCAGGACAUAAACACACCAACACCGGUUGUCAAGUGAUGGUAGAGCGACAAACACAGACCCAUACACACAAAUAUAUAUACAAAUAUAUAUAUAUAUAUAUAUAUAUAUAUAUAUACCGAAAAUGUCGCUAGAAGCUGGGAUCACCAAGCAUAGAUUGGCAUAUUUCGGUCAUAUUAUGUGGAGAAAAUCCCUGGAGAAGGACAUCAUGCUCGGAAUGGUCAGUGGCAAGAGAGGAAGAGGCCGACCAAGAACCCGCUGGCUUGACACCAUCAAGAGUGAUAUCGGAAUGGACAUAGCCAGUCUGAAAGAAGCGGCCCAGGAUAGAACUGAAUGGAGGACACUGAUCCAACGAGUAACCGAGAGUCGACUUCGACUGAGCGGAUAUAUAUAUAUAUAUAUAUAUAUAUAUAUAUAAUCAAAAUAAGCAACAAGGAUAUCCAGAGGUAAUGCACUACGAUCGUUUCAUUACCUCUAGAUAUUCUUGUUGCUUAUAUGGAUAAUACCAUACCAAAUUCUGGUGCCUAUACUUAAGUACCGUAUACAACUGAAUCUAAAUUUUAAUGAACUUAUAUAUAUAUAUAUAUAUAUAUGACAUGCUUAUCCAGUUUCCAUCUACCAAAUUCACUCACAAGGCUUUUGUCGCUUGCCCAAGGUACCAUGCAGUGGAACUGAACCCAGAACCAUGUGGUUGGAAAGCAAGCUUCUUACCACACAGCCAUGCCUGCGCAUAUAUAUACUUGUUUACUCUCUUUUACUUGUUUCAGUCAUUUGACUGCGGCCAUGCUGGAGCACCGCCUUUAAUCGAGCAAAUCGACCCCGGGACUUAUUCUUUGUAAGCCCUCUAUCGGUCUCUUUUGCCGAACCGCUAAGUGACGGCGACGUAAACACGCCAGCAUCGAUUGUCAAGCAAUGCUAGGGGGACAAACACAGAUACACAAACAUACACACGUAUAUAUAUAUACAUAUAUACAACGGGCUUCUUUCAGUUUCCGUCUACCAAAUUCACUCACAAGGCUUUGGUCGGCCCGAGGCUAUAGCAGAACACACUUGCCCAAGGUUCCACGCAGUGGGACUGAACCUGGAACCAUGUGGCUGGUAAGCAAGCUACUUACCACACAGCCACUCCUGCGCCUAUAUUUAUAUAUAUGAUAUAUAUAUAUAUAUAUAUAUAUAUAUGUAUGUAUACACAGACACAAACUUACUGUUAACAAAAGUCAGGAUGCAUGGCCUUCCAUUAUUCCAUAAAUAAAAAAGGCAUUAAAAACCUUGAUAACUGAAGAAGGAUUAGGGUCCUCCUUUGUCUGUUCUACAUGUACAUUUUGUAGUAUUUAAUGCAGUUUUCCUUGUAUGGUAAAUAGCUUACUUACCAACCACAUGGUUCCAGGUUCAGUCCCACUGCGUGGCACCUUGGGCUAGUGUCUCUUCAACUAUAGCCUUGGGCUGACCUGUUUGUGUGUCUGUAUUUGUCCCCCCCCCCCACCAUUGCUUGACCACCAAUGCUGGUGUGUUUACGCCCCCUGUAACUUAGCAGUUUGGCAAAAGAGACCGAUAGGAUCAGUACUAGGCUUACAAAAGAAUAAGACCUGGGGUGAAUUUGUUCAACUAAAGUGGUGCUCCAGCAUGGACACAGUCAAAUGACUGAAACAAAUAAAAGAAUCAUCAUCAUCAUUUAGCGUCUGCUUUCCAUGCUGGCAUGGGUUGGAUGGUUCAACUGGGGUCUGGGAAGCCAGAAGGCUGCACCAGGCCCAGUCUGAUCUGGCAAUGUUUCUACGGAUGGAUGCCCUUCCUAACACCAACCACUCCAUGAGUGUAGUGGGUGCUUUUUACGUGCCACCGGCACAGGUGCCAGACGAGGCUGGCAAACGGCCACGAUCGGAUGGUGCUUUUUACGUGCCACCGGCACGGAGGCCAGGUGAGGCUGGCAAUGGCCAUGAUCGGAUGGUGCUUCUUCAGUGCCACCGGCAUGGAGGCCAGGUGAGGCUGGCAAUGGCCACAAUUGGAUGGUGCUUUUUAAGUGCCACCGGCACAGAGGCCUGUCGGGGCAGCGCUGGCAACGGCCACGUUCGGAUGGUCCUCUUACGUGCCACUGGUGCUGGUAUCACAGCUACAAUUUCCAUUGAUGUUGUUUGAUUUCGAUUUUGAUAUAUAUAUAUAUAUAUUUAUAUACUCUUUAACUAGUUCCUGCUUGAAAGUUGUGGUCAUGCUGGGGCACUGCCAUUGAUUUAAUUUUUUUAUGGAGAAGGACAUGUCAGUAGCUCAUCAAGGACCCAUCAGCCUUGAAGGGUCGAGAGGCACAUAUCCGUGUCAGUGACCGCUAAGUGGAAGAGACUGAUAAGAACUGCCCUUCCACACAACAGCAAUAUAUGUGUGUGUGUAUGUAUAUGUGUAUAUAUAUAUUUGUGUGUGUGUAUAUAUAUAUGUGUGUGUAUAUAUAUAUGUGUGUAUAUAUAUAUAUGUGUGUGUGUAUAUAUAUGUGUGUGUGUAUAUAUGUGUGUGUGUGUGUAUAUGUGUGUAUGUAUGUAUAUAUAUAUAUAUAUAUGUGUGUUUGUAUAUAUAUGUGUGUGUGUGUAUAUAUAUGUGUGUGUAGAUAUAUAUGUGUGUGUAUAUAUAUAUGUGUGUAUGUGUGUAUAUAUAUGUGUGUGUGUAUAUAUAUGUGUGUGUGUAUAUAUAUGUGUGUGUGUAUAUACUUGUGUGUGUAUGUGAGUGUCACAUUGUGUCUGUCUUUCUCACCCUGCCAUGCUUGACAACUGGUGUUGGUUUGUUUACAUCCCGGUAACAUAGCACUUCAGCCUAAGAGAUUAGUGGAACAAGUACCAGACUUUGAAAAAGGAAACAAGACUACUGGGAUCAAUUCAUUGGAUUAAAACCCUUUAAGGCGGUGCCCCAGCAUGGCCACAGUCAAAUGACUGAAACAAGUAAAAGAUAAGAAGAGAAAAGACUUUACAGACAUGAUGUGAAGACAAACACACACAUUCUCAUACAUGUACAUACAUACAGACAUACAUACAGGUAGAUAGAUUGCUAGACAGGUGGAUGGAUGGAUGGAUGGAUGGACAGACAGACAGACAGACAAGUAGAUGAAUGGAAGGAUGGAUAGAUAGAUAGAAAAAUCGAUAGAUAGAUAGACAAGCAGAUAGAUAGAUAUGUAGAUGGAUGGAUGGAUAGCCUGAUAGAUAGACAAACCAAACAGAGAGAUAGACAAAUAGAUAGAUAGAUUGUUAGACAGACGGACAGAUGGACGAACGGAUGGAUGGAUGGACAGACAGACAGACAAAUAGACAGAUUGAUGGAUAGAUAGAUAGAUAGAUACGUAGAUAGAUGGAUAGAUAGAUAGAUGAUGGAUGGAUAGAUAGAUAGAUAUGUAGAUGGAUGGAUGGAUAGACAGAUAGACAGACAGACAGAUAGAUAGAUAGAUAGAUAGAUAGAUAGAGAGAGAGAGAGAGAGAGAUAGAUAGAUAGAUAGAUAGAUAGAUGGAUAGAUAGAUAGAUACGUAGAUGGAUGGAUGGAUAGACAGAUAGAUAGACAAACAAAUAGAUAGAUAGACAGAUAGAUAGAUUGUUAGACAGAUGGAUGAACUGAUGGAUGGAUGGACAGACAGACAGACAAAUAGACAGAUGGAUAGAUAGGUAGAUAGACAAGCAGAUAGAUGGAUAGAUAGACACAGAUAAAUUGACAAACAGACAGACAGAUAGAUAGAUAGAUAGAUAGAUAGAUAGAUAGACAGAUGGAUAGAUAGAUAGAUAGAUAGGUAGGUAGGUAGAUAGACAAGCAGAUAGAUGGGUAGAUAGACACAGAUAAAUUGACAAACAGACAGACAGACAGAUAGAUAGAUAGAUAGACAGACAGAUAGAUUAUCAGAAAGAGACGUAUGAAUAAAUGUAUGUGUGUAAGUGUGAGAGCCUCAUUAUGUCAACAUCCUGUGCUAAUUGUAAGUGUAUGUCUCCAUUAUACAAGUGGGGUUACUCAUUUGCAGACCUCUGUGAAAUCAUAGCUGGCUAUUGGGCUGUUUGUGUGUGAAGGACUGAUAGGGCAGGAUGGGUGGGUGGGUGGGGGAAACUAGUACCUUAUAUGGAAACGGGUGAGGGUUAGUGACGGAAAGAGCGUCUAACUGUAGAAAACCUGCUUCAAGGAAGCACCAUAUAACUGGUGCAAGCAUGGAAAAUUGGGCAUUAAAAUAAUGAUAGUUAUUAUAUUUGUCUGUCUGUCUGUCUCUCUAUGUGUGUGUGUGUGUGUGUAUAUAUAUAUAUAUAUGUAUAUAUAUGUAUGUGUGUGUGUGUGUAUAUAUAUAUAUGUAUAUAUAUAUGUAUGUAUAUGUAUGUAUAUAUAUGUCUGUAUAUGUAUGUGUAUGUAUAUGUAUAUCAUCAUCAUUUAACGUCCGCUUUCCAUGCUAGCAUGGGUUGGACUGUUCAACUGGGAUCUGUGAAGCCAGAAGGCUGCUUCAGGCCCAGUCUGAUCUGGCAGUGUUUCUACAGCUAGAUGCCCUUCCUAACGCCAACCACUCCGAGAGUGUAGUGGGUGCUUUUUAUGUGCCACCCGCACAGGUGCCAGACGGAGCUGGCAGACGGCCAUGAACGGAUGGUGCCUUUUACAUGCCCAGCACAGGGGUCAGGCGAGGCUGGCAAUGGCCACGAACGGAUGGUGCUUUUUACGUGCCACCGGCACGGAGGCCAGUCGGGGCGGCACUGGCAACGGCCACGAUCGGAUGGUUCGCUUACUUGUCACCGGCACUGGUAUCACAGCUGCAAUUUCCAUUGAUGUUGAUCGGCUUCGAUUUUGGUUCUGCUUUCUAAUAUCUGAUUUGAUUUGGUUUGAUUUUGAUUUUGAUUUUCUCUCUCUCUCUCUCUCUCUAUAUAUAUAUAUACAUAUAUAUAUACUGCUCCCAACUAUAGUCACCACACAAUAUAAAGCUAACAGCAGAACUUGAAGCAAUUCAAAGAAGCUACACUAAGAAGAUCGUCUCAAUACAACAUAUCAGCUACUGGGAAAGACUGAAAAUAUCAAAACUCUUCUCCCUAGAGCGAAGGCAGGAGAGAUAUGCGGUGAUAUACAACUGGAAAAUCCUGGAGCGUCUUGUCCCAAACUUUGGCAUUCAAAGUUACCCCAACCGCAGAACGGGGCGCCACUGCAUGGUGCCAAGGAUUCCAACAUCACCAUCAAAAUACAGGACCAGAUACUGCAACAGCUUGGGGUUCAGAGGAUCGCAGCUCUUCAACAUCCUCCCUAAAUGCCUGAGAGACUUGCAUGGUGUGGAUGUGGGUUUCUUUAAAACUAAACUGGAUCUCUACUUGUUGGGUCUCUGAUGUUUUAUUUGAAUGACAUUUCGUGCUGACCUUCCUCACCUGCUUGACCCAGUAACAGCAGGCUUGAACUUUCACCUUUUGUCAUUAUUAAUAUAUCAAUAAUUAAUUAGUGCACCAAACCACUCCUCUCACAACGAUAAUAAUCAGAAAGGAAGAAGCAGAUGAUAUCAAGUGGCGUAACAUUGAAAAAAAAAAAAAAAGUUCAAUGUUGAUAAGUAUGUGAUCAUCAUCAUCAUCAUCAUUUUUUUCUUUUUGACGUCCACUUUUCCAUGUUUGCAUAGAGCUGACGGAUUUUGUUGAGGAAAAGUUUUCUACGGCUAGAUGCCUUUCCUAUUGCCAAACUUCAUAGGUUUCCAAGCAAGGUAAAUAUUUCCCCAUAAAGCAGACAUGUUUUUCACGGAACACUGGAAAUGAACAACUUUACUUGCAUGAUGAUGAUGAUGAUGCUCAUUUUGCCACCAUCACGUCUUGUCUAGACAAGGGCACACACAAACGCACACACACACACACACACACAUGCACACAUAUACAUAUAUCAUCAUCACUAACGUCCGUUAGUGGUUCAGCAAAAGAGACCGAUAGAUUAAGUACUAGGCUUACAAAGAAUAAGUCCUGGGGUUGAUUUGCUUGACUAAAGGCGGUGCUCCAGCAUGGCCACAGUCAAAUGACUGAAACAAGUAAAAGAGUUAAGAGUAUAUAUAUAUAUAUAUAUAUAUAUAUAGGAUGGGAUUCUUUCAGUUUCCCCCCAGCAAAUCCACACAAGGCUUUGAUCAGCCUCAAGCUAUAGAAAGUGACAUUUGCCCAAGGAACCGUUCUGAACUCAAAACCGUGUAGAUAGAAAACGAACUUCUUAACCACUGCCAUACAUGUUUCCCUGGCCAUGCUGUGGCUAUUGUAAGGUGAUGAGCUGGCAGAGCUGUUAGCAUGCUGAGCAAAAUGUUUAGCGGCAUCUUCAUGUUCUGGGUUCAAAUUCCACUGAGGUCGACUUUGCCUUUCAUCCUUUCAAGGUCAAUAAAUUAAGUACCAGUUAACUACUUGGAUCUCCCUCCCCACAAAUUCCAGGUCUUGUGCCUAUAGCAGAAAAGAUUAUUAUUAAUAUUAUUAUUAUUAUUAUUAUUAUUAUUAUUUUUAUCACGUGCUUCUACCGCACUACCAAGCGCAGCCCUGUGUGCUUUGGGUAUGUGCUGUGGUUUGUUGUGAUGCUCUGAUGGUUGCUAUAUUGAAAGUGUUUUACAUUGUUAUUAUUAUUUAAUAGUUUAAAGGUUAUUGUUUCAUACUUUAGUCUUUAGAACUGAGAGAUGUUGAUAAGGAAUUUAGCUGAUUGGCUUCCUGUGUGUGUAUGUGGUAUAGGAGUGUGUGUUUGUGUGUGUGUGUUUGUGUUUCUAUAUGUGUGUAUAUGUUUCUCUCUCAUACACACAUACACACUCUCUCUUUCUCACACAUACACACACUCGCACACACACACACACACACACACACACACUCUCUCACACACACACAUACACUAUUUCUCUCCCUCUCACAAACUCGCACACAUACACACUCUCUCACUCACACGCACACACUCUUGCACACACACAUAUACACAUGCACAUUCUCUCUCUCACGCACACACACACACACACACACACACACACGCACACACACACACACACAUAUAUGUGGGUUGUGCUUCUUUCAGUUUCAGUCUACCAAAUUCCACUCAGGUGGAAGCACAUGGCUCAGUGGUUACGGUGUUGGACUCAUGAUCAUAAGAGUGUGGGUUCAGUCCCUUCACUGGGCAGUGUGUUGUGUUCUUGAACAAAACAUUUCUUCAUUUCAUGUUGCUCCAAUCCACUCAUCUGCAAAAGUGAGUCACCUUGCAACAGACCAUCUUCCCAUCCAGGAGGAUAAUAUACACCGCAAAAUCAGGGAAACCAGCCUUAUGAGUCUAUCUAUAUGAUUCACGAUGGACCUUUGACCCUUUUUUUUUUAAAAAUCCACUUGCAAGGCUUCUGGUGACCCCAGACUGUAUUAUUAUCUGAGGGCCAACCGGCUUCCAUGCCAGUGACACAUAAAAGGCACCAUUUGAGUGUGAUCAUUACCAGCGUCGCCUUACUGGCACUAGUGCCCCGUGCUAGUAAGGUGCUAAGAGCACCAUCCGAGCAUGAUUGUUGCCAGAGCGGCUAACUGGCUUCUGUGUCAGUGGCACAUAAAAGGCACCAUUCGAGCAUGAUCUUACCAGCAUCACCUUACUGGCACUUGUGCCAGUGGCAUGUGUAAAAAGAUUCGAGCGAGGUCGUUGUCAGUACUGCCUGACUGGCCCCCGUGCCGGUGGCACGUAAAAGCACCCACUACACUCUCGGAGUGGUUGGCAUUAGGAAGGGCAUCCAGCUGUAGAAACUCUACCAGAUCAGAUUGGUGCCUGGUGCAGUCAUCUGGUUCGCCAGACCUCAGUCAAAAUCGUCCAACCCAUGAUAGCAUGGAAAGCGGACCUUAAACGACGACGAUGAUGAUGAUGAUGAUGGGCCAAGCUGUGGGAGUGAAUCCCAAAGCCACUCGGUUUGGGAAGAAAACUCGUUAACCACACACCCAUUCAUCAACGUCAGAUCAAACUGUUCUGUUGAUAAAGGAAGACCUCAGCCUGGCAAUAACAACAACAGCAACAACAACAACAACCACUGCUAGAGAAUCAGUCAUGUGAUAACUGUUCUUUAUAUUCUUUUCCACAGGGUGUGUGUGUGUGUAUGUAUGUGUGUCUGUGUCUGGGUGUCUGCAUGUGUGUGUAUGUAUGUAUGUAUAUAUGUAUGUAUAUGUGUGUAUGUAUGUAUCUGUGUAUUUGUAUGCAUGUGUAUGUAUGUAUACAUAUGUGUGUAUAUCUGUGUGUGUAUAUCUGUGUGUGUGUGUACAUGUACAUAUGCAUGUGUGCUUAUGGGUGUGUGUGUGUGUAUGUAUGCAUGUGUGUGCAUGUAUGUGUGUACGUAUGUUUGUAUGUAUAUGUGUAUGCAUGUGUAUCUCUAUGUGUAUGCAUGUGUGUGUAUGUAUGCAUGUGUGCGUAUGGGUGUGUGUGUGUGUGUGAAUGUGUUUAUGUAUGUGUGUGUAUGUAUGCGUGUAUGUAUGUAUGCAUGUGUGCAUGUGGGUGUGGGUGUGUAUGUAUGAAUGUGUUUAUGUAUGUGUGUAUAUGUAUGCAUGUGUGUGUAUGUGUGUGUGUACGUAUGUUUGUAUGUAUGUGUGUGUGUAUGCAUGUGUAUCUCUGUGUAUAUAUGCAUGUGUGUGUAUGUUUGUGUGUAUGUGUGCAUAUAGGUGUGUGUGUGUGUGUAUGAAUGCGUUUGUGUAUGUAUGUAUAUGUAUGUGUAUACGUAUGCAUGUAUGUAAGUGUGUGUAUGCAUGCAUGUAUGUCUGUGUGUGUACGUGUCCACACCAGAACAUGGUCUGUAAUUUUUAACUGAAAUGUUUCUUUUUUUUUUAUUUGCAUUUUAUUUAUUUAUUUUUUUCUUCUCUCAUUCCAGAUCCAUUUUCUUCAAAAUGUUUGAGACUAUUGUCUUGAGACUCAAACAAGAAUCUUGUUGAUGGACCAUUCAGCAAAAAAAUACCUUAGCAACCAAAAACCAAAAAUGUUUCUUAGAAACCAACGAAACCUGUAAAUAACAUCAUUUUCUUUUUCUGCUUAAAUUCUCGUUUCCAAUAUUAAUUAUAAAUUAGAGGCUUUGAGCUGGCAGAUUCGUUAGCAUGCUGGGUAAAAAAUGCUUAGUAGUAGGCGCAGGUGUGGCUGUGUGGUAAGUAGCUUGCUAACCAACCACAUGGUUCCGGGUUCAGUCCCACUGCGUGGCACCUUGGGCAAGUGUCUUCUGCUAUAGCCCCGGGCCAACCAAUGCCUUGUGAGUGGAUUUGGUAGACGGAAACUGAAAGAAGCCCAUCAUAUAUAUGUAUAUAUAUAUAUGUGUAUGUUUGUGUGUCUGUGUUUGUCCCCCUAGCAUUGCUUGACAACCGAUGCUGGUGUGUUUACGUCCCCGUUACUUAGCGGUUCGGCAAAAGAGACCGAUAGAAUAAGUACUGGGCUUACAAAAGAAUAAGUCCCGGGGUCGAUUUGCUCGACUAAAAAGGCGGUGCUCCAGCAUGGCCGCAGUCAAAUGACUGAAACAAGUAAAAGAGUAAAAGAGUAUUUCAUCCAUCUUUAUGUUUUGGCUUCAAAUCCCACAAAGGUUCAUUUUGCCUUUUAUCUUUUCGAGGUCGAUGAAUUAAGUACCAGGUACACACUGGGGUCGAUGUAAUUGACUACUCCCCUCCUCACCAAAUUUUAGGGCUUGUGCCUACAGUAGAAAGGAUUAUUGAGUGAGAGAGCAGUGUAUGCCAUCAAAGUGACACUGGGGUAAAAUACACGAAGCCCAGUAUACCCAUCGUGUCUACCUGUCUGAUAAGGGUACACCAGGCACAUGCAUCACAAUCAUAUGUGCGCAACAUGGUGAUAUCAUGUCAAGAUAAACAGUGCAUGACCUUGCAGGUGGGGCCCAGUUAGAAUUUUCUUCUGGUCGAGUAGCCCAUCCCGCUCAAAAGGUCCCUGAAUAAGGGUUGUUUAAGGAUGUUGAACGAAACACCCAUGUUUCCAGAGGUGAAUUAUCCAAACCCCAAAGAAUUCCUCUCAACACAUGGCUAUGAUGCUCCCCCAUUACUUCUGCUCGUGAUCAGAGAUGCACAUAUCGUCAGCCACUAAGGGACAUGCUCAACUGGUUAAAGUCAAACAACUGACAAGCAAGUCUGUGGUAUUGAGCAGAGAUACAAAGGGCUUGUUUCAGUUUACGCCUACGAAAUCCAAUUUGUGACUGUAGAAGAGAAAGUGGUUGUAGCAGUGGUGUUGGUGCUGCCAUUGAUGCUGGUAAUGUUGUUGUUGUUGUUGGUGGUGGUGAUGGCAGUGUUGAUGAUAGCAGUGAUAGUAGUGGUGGUAGUGGUGAUGGUGGUGGUAGUGGUGUUGGUGCUGCUAUUGAUGCUGGUAGUGGUGGUGGUGGUGGUGAUAGUGGUGACAGUGGUGUUAGUGCCGCUAUUAAUGCUGGUAGUGGUGGUGGUGGUGUUGGUGGUGACAGUGGUGUUGGUGGUGGUGGUGGUGAUGGUGAUGGCAGUGUUGAUGAUAGCAGUGAUAGUAGUGGUGGUGGAUGUGGUGCUAGUGGAGUUGACGAUGACAGUGUUGGUGAUGGUGGUGGUGGUGACAGUGGUGUUAGUGCCGCUAUUAACGCUGGUAGUGGUGGUAGUGCUAGGGGAGAUGACAAUGGCAGUGUUGGUCAUGUUGGUGGUGGUGGUGGUGGUGGUAGUGACAGUGGUGUUGGUGCUGCUAUUGAUGCUGCUGGUGGUGGUGACGGUGGUGUUGGUGGUGAUGGCGGUAUUGAUGAUAGUGGUAGUGUUGGUGGUUGCGGUUGUUGUUGUGGUGGCAGCGUCAGUGGUCGUUGUGGCAUUCGUAGCCAUAAUGACAGUUGUGGUGAUAAUGAUAAUAUUAACGAUAAUAUUAAGGCAUUGAGCUGGCAGAACCGUUAGCACGCCGGUCGAAAUGCUAAGCGGUAUUUCGUCUGCCGCUACGUUCUGAGUUCAAAUUCCGCCGAGGUCGACUUUGCCUUUCAUCCUUUUGGGGUCGAUUAAAUAAGUACCAGUUACGCACUGGUGUCGAUGUAAUCGACUUAAUCCCUUUGUCUGUCCUUGUUUGUCCCCUCUAUGUUUAGCCCCUUGUGGGUAGUAAAGAAAUAGGUAUUUAAUCUGCCGUUACGUUCUGAGUUCAAAUUUCACCGAGGUCGACUUUGCCUUUCAUCCUUUCGGGGUCGAUUAAAUAAGUACCAGUUACGCACUGGUGUCGAUGUAAUCGACUUAAUCCCUUUGUCUGUCCUUGUUUGUCCCCUCUAUGUUUAGCCCCUUGUGGGUAGUAAAGAAAUAGGUAUUUAAUCUGCCGUUACGUUCAGAGUUCAAAUUUCACCGAGGUCGACUUUGCCUUUCAUCCUUUCGGGGUCGAUUAAAUAAGUACCAGUUACGCACUGGUGUCGAUGUAAUCGACUUAAUCCCUUUGUCUGUCCUUGUUUGUCCCCUCUAUGUUUAGCCCCUUGUGGGUAGUAAAGAAAUAGGUAUUUAAUCUGCCGUUACGUUCUGAGUUCAAAUUUCACCGAGGUCGACUUUGCCUUUCAUCCUUUCGGGGUCGAUAAAUUAAGUACCAGUUACGCACUGGUGUCGAUGUAAUCGACUUAAUCCCUUUGUCUGUCCUUGUUUGUCCCCUCUGUGUUUAGCCCCUUGUGGGUAGUAAAGAAAUAGAUAAUAUUAACGAUGAUGAUGAUGAUGAUGGAUAAUUUUCUUCUGUUUGUUUAUUUCAGUUAAAGGAUGGUGCACAGUGCAAACGUAAGUCAAGGAGGCAGCGAUGCACCGGCCAGUGGCAGCGGCAGCAGCAACAACAGCAAUACCGAACUCGCUUGUGCUUACAUUGACUUCCUCAUCCUCGGGGUCAUGUUCAUCCUGUACUCGUUAUGGUGGACCGUGCAAACGACCCGCAUCUUCUUCUUCAUGAGGUGGAAACACGUCGAGUUUCAUUCGUCGCUCGUCUACCCCUGCAGCAAGCAACGCUGGAAGCAGCUGAUACAGAGUUUCAUCGAGAUCUGCCUCAUCAUCUGUGGCCUUUUACUCGUCACAAAUUACCGACAUGUGCCUGGAAUCAACUGGGCCGGUGGUGGCGCUGGAUCGGGUGCUGAACUGAACGACGCUAAAAAUAGUAUGUUGAAAUUGCGGUCCUGUAUAAUCCUUGUGGCUUUCGGACUCUCGUGUUUGGUGAACAUCGGGUCACAGACGUGCACUUAUAGCCUGCCGCAGGGCCUCGACUACUGCAUCUUCAUAUUCGCGUUCGGCGUCGAGGCGAUUCUGUUCGGUCACUAUGUCAUGGACGAUGAACGAGACGACAGCCUGGCUUCGAUCGGUGAGAACUUGGUCACUUACUGUGCCAUUAUGACCGUCGUGGUGACCAUACUGGAGUUCCACUAUCGCAACCAGGUGGUCUUCCCGUUCGUUCGCUCGUUCGUCACACUCGUGCAGGGCACGUGGCUGUGCCACUACGGCACGAUCAUCUGCUCCCCGUACAAGUGGGACAUCACGGACUACAACAUCAGCAUUCUGUCCACGUACUUUGCGGCCCAUGGCAUGGCCAAUUUCAUAGUCAUCUUCAUCAUCUGGCUCAUCACAUACAAACUGGCGCUCACUGACCGAUGUUGUUGCUUACCGGUCAGUCUGGAGAAAACCAACGAAGUCUUCCUCGAAAACCGAGUCCAUUUCAACUACCACAUGCUGGACAGACUCGGUUCAGAUGCCGAAUAAUAGCAAACAACAACAACAGCAACAACAAUAAUAAUUAUAAUAAUAAUGGUAAGAGGGAAAGCAGAGAAUUGAAGAACGGUAAGAAGGGAAAGAAAACGUAAGAACUGUCAUUCCUCAGAUAAUGGAGUAUAUUUUUUAUUAUUAUUUAUUUUAUCAUUUUUUUAUUUAUAGUAUUUUUUGUAUAUGUAAUCUAAUAUAUAUGUAUAUAUAUAUAUAUAUAUAUAUA